rfam:Chitinophaga jiangningensis strain DSM 27406 genome assembly, contig: Ga0131168_106
CCGGGGAUUGCCGAAAACCCGCACAAAGAGUAGGCA